rnacentral:sRNA from 1 species
CUGACAAUCCUGAAGCGUGAAGCCAUCCCUUUAGCUACAGGACAAUUAUAACCUGGACGGUGCGUGCUUCUCACACUAGUCAUCAUCAUGCCUCAACUAGACUGAGAUGCACAGCUACUAGGGCUCAGAGUGUAGUUCGGACUUCAUGCCCAUUCAAUUCCUUGGCCUCU